AGUGAACGCUGGCGGUAGGCCUAACACAUGCAAGUCGAACGGCAGCACAGUAAGAGCUUGCUCUUACGGGUGGCGAGUGGCGGACGGGUGAGGAAUACAUCGGAAUCUACUUUUUCGUGGGGGAUAACGUAGGGAAACUUACGCUAAUACCGCAUACGACCUACGGGUGAAAGCAGGGGAUCUUCGGACCUUGCGCGAUUGAAUGAGCCGAUGUCGGAUUAGCUAGUUGGCGGGGUAAAGGCCCACCAAGGCGACGAUCCGUAGCUGGUCUGAGAGGAUGGUCGGCCACACUGGAAGUUAGACACGGUCCAGACUCCUACGGGAGGGAGCAGUGGGGAAUAUUGGACAAUGGGCGCAAGCCUGAUCCAGCCAUACCGCGUGGGUGAAGAAGGCCUUCGGGUUGUAAAGCCCUUUUGUUGGGAAAGAAAAGCAGCAGGUUAAUACCCCGCUGUUCUGACGGUACCCAAAGAAUAAGCACCGGCUAACUUCGUG
rnacentral:rRNA from 1 species